AGAGAGAGUGAGCUCGGGGUAGAGGCAAGCCAGCCAGAUUGCGUCCAGCGGCAGUCGCUCCGCGGGGUUCCCAGAAGGCAGCGGGGAAACCCCGCCGCAAAGGUGCGCCCUGCGCGGGGACUCCGCGGCGCAUGCAGAGCUGGAAGCCAGUGGUGGGAUCCCCACCCAUCCUUGGAGACCGCUUCUGCCUCGAGUCCUCGGUAACGUGGGGCUGUCCUCUCCCGGUGUGGUUUUAGCGCUGGCGCGGGCGUUCCUGUGGGCCAUUCUCUUGCUUUCUACCCUGCGGGCAACCGAGAUGCGUCUCCCCAGAGGUCCAGGAGGAACCACAGGCUGCAGGUCGCCCCGAACUAAAAUGAGUUUCCUGGUGUGUGCUUCUUUCUUCCCCUCCCAACUUCCACUCCUUUAAGAGCAAGAAAAGGCAACGUCCAGUCGGGUCCCACAACAGCUUUAAUGGGGCGAGGGCGAGAAGGGGGCUAGCGAUAACUCUUCCAAACAACAAAGGAGGAGUGGAAGGAAGGUGAGUCUCUGAGGACCCCAUACUAAGCCUCCUUUGAUGAUAGGGGUAAAUGGAAGAGAUAUUUGCCCUAUUUAAGAAGGCAAAAAAAAAAAAAAAAAAGAACAAUGGGUUCAUUGUCCCCUUGCCUAGAAUGCCAACGCAAUUCUAGGUCUUUGUGAGGCCUCUGGCUAUUUGGUAAAGUGGGAGAACUGUCAACUCGAAGAGAGUCCAGUAAGAGAACCUGAGCCUGCUAUGGCACAGUAACCUGAGGCCAGGGGAGAUGGCAGGUGAGAGUCGUUGCAAGUAGAGUGGAAACUUCUUGGAUCAGAUUGUUCUGUGAGCAAAACAGAAUGGUUAGGAUCCAUUCAAGAGCUUCUAUUUUCAAUCUCUUCCCUGUUUAAUCGUUCUGUCUCCCCACACACCACACCCCAUUUUCUUUCCUACAGAAGAAAAGACAUCCCAAGCAGGAAACUCCCUGUAAAGAGAUUUCUACCUCCUUUUUAUUCAUUUUCUGUCCCUCCAGAAAAGGAUAACCUUUGGUCCCCUCUGCUUUGGAGGAAUAGAGGACAGCCUGCCUUGUGCAAAUCUUUUCCAAGCUUUCAUUAAAGAUCACCUCUAAGCAUUUCCACUUUACAGUGGAAGCGAGCAGAUGCCUUCUUGCUGAACUCUGACCCACAUACCAUUCAUCUUCCCAAUAAUAAUGCCAAGUGACACUCGAACAGCAGGACAAUUAGAUCAAAUCCUAGAGCACACCCAGAGGAGAAAAAAACAGCAUGUCUAAAUACCACCAACAAAAGUUUAGGAGAACAGACUUAGAGGAAGGAGAGAAAAAAAGGAAAGUUCUUAAAAAGAGAAAGUGCCCUGGGUGUAGUGGCAGGUUUAUUUUCUCAGUAGAUCCUUGAAAGAAGUAGAAUUGCAGCAUCUCUUUGCUUAAAGGACAAGUGAGAGUAAGUCUCCAUCCACCAGGUAGGGGAGAUCAGGUUCUCCUGAAGAGCAGCAAAGCCUCUAUAGUGAACCAUGUAGGGUAUUUGGAGCUCCUCCUUCCAUGCCUGUUUAUAUCAGGACUUCCCUUUGGUGCUCGGCUUCUUGGAAGGCAUCCAAGAUAGAUCUGCCUUGUUGUCACGUUCCCCUCAGAACAGUAAACAGUGUUCACUAGAAUUGCAAGGUGUUAGUAUUGGUAGGGCCAAUUGCUUCCUUGAGGCAAGAUAGCCAUUCUCUUUGCCCUGGUGCGUAAGCACAAGGUGAGUGACGGCUUUGAAUUCAUGAACUAAGAGGGGCUGGGGUUUACAGUUCACUCAAUAGGAGACAAUUCUAAGGCACUUCCUCCUACAAUGAUAAGUAUCCAGGGUUGCCUGGCCAAGAAGCCCACUCUAUCUGAGCCUGGCCUUGGGUGAGAGGGAAAGGGAUACCACUCCCCUCAAUGCUUAGGGACCAUCUCUAAGCAGAUGGACCUGUUCGCCAUCUCAAAGCAGAAAGUAGCUCCAACAAGGUGAAGGGUGAAGGAGAAUUUUUAAAUGCAGAAUUGCAAAUAAAGUGAAAUCUCUUUAUGGUGUGUCUGCUAGGAGAUGGUGAAUGAGCAGUUCUGGAAGAGAUUUUUACUGUUUGGGGACAGUAGGGAAAACACAGGGACAUUAAGUGAGAUGAUGUACAUAAAGCACUUAACAUAGUGCCUACUGCCUAACAAGCUCUGCAUAACCUGUAGCUCUUAUUUUGGUUAUUAAUAUUUUCAUUAUUGUGAUAGUUUAUUUUUUUAAAAAGGCUAAGAAGCUCUUUUUUCCUUAGCUUAAACAAGCAAAGCAGAUUAAAGCCAAAAGCCUUCCAGUUUUUCCUUCUGGCUUCCUCCAUCGCCCCCUCACUCAUCACCCUGAUCACUGAUGUAUUCAAAUCCAUGUAAUGAAAAGCAUGCUACAAAGAUGUGUGGCAGUGUGAAUGGGGAAUAGCUCCAACUCUCACCCUUCCACCCACAAAUCUAGACGUAAGUGUGAGAUAGCUUUGUCUUUCAGUAACAUGCCUCAAGCACUUUUUGCCACUCAUGUCUCACAGUGAUUAAGGACUCCUGCCUGGCAGGGUCUCUUGCUAUAACACCCCACCUACAUUGGAAUACCAAGCUUUGUAUUUUCACUUUUUUUUUUUUUUGCCUGCCUUCUAAUUUUAGCUAUCAUAUGUGUUACUCCUCCUAGGUAACAAAAUGCCCAAAGCCAAUUAAUAUGCACACAUCUGCAGAUGGUUUGAGAUAAAUUAAUGGUAAGAAUUUCAGUGGCUGCCAGUAUUUUUAAUGCUCCUUUAUCACAGAUUUCAGACUUAAUACUCAUCUGCUCUACUUAAAGAAUAAUCCCUAAACUUUGUACUUCCUUCUACCAACCAAGCAACAUACCUAAUGGCCUUAUUUCCUAUAUCAGCAAAAUAACCCAGCAUUGUUGCCUGG
rnacentral:lncRNA from 1 species